rnacentral:rRNA from 2 species
GUUUGAUGUUCUAACGUGGAUCCGUAAUCCGGGUUGCGGACAGUGUCUGGUGGGUAGUUUGACUGGGGCGGUCUCCUCCUAAAGAGUAACGGAGGAGCACGAAGGUUGGCUAAUCCUGGUCGGACAUCAGGAGGUUAGUGCAAUGGCAUAAGCCAGCUUGACUGCGAGCGUGACGGCGCGAGCAGGUGCGAAAGCAGGUCAUAGUGAUCCGGUGGUUCUGAAUGGAAGGGCCAUCGCUCAACGGAUAAAAGGUACUCCGGGGAUAACAGGCUGAUACCGCCCAAGAGUUCAUAUCGACGGCGGUGUUUGGCACCUCGAUGUCGGCUCAUCACAUCCUGGGGCUGAAGUAGGUCCCAAGGGUAUGGCUGUUCGCCAUUUAAAGUGGUACGCGAGCUGGGUUUAGAACGUCGUGAGACAGUUCGGUCCCUAUCUGCCGUGGGCGCUGGAGAACUGAGGGGGGCUGCUCCUAGUACGAGAGGACCGGAGUGGACGCAUCACUGGUGUUCGGGUUGUCAUGCCAAUGGCACUGCCCGGUAGCUAAAUGCGGAAGAGAUAAGUGCUGAAAGCAUCUAAGCACGAAACUUGCCCCGA